rnacentral:siRNA from 1 species
CACCAAGGCGCUACCUACUGCUAC